rnacentral:rRNA from 1 species
CCUACGGGGGGCGGCAGUAGGGAAUUUUCGGCAAUGGGCGGAAGCCUGACCGAGCAAUGCCGCGUGAACGAAGAAGGUCUUCGGAUUGUAAAGUUCUGUUAUUCGGAAAGAAAGGUAGAGUCAGGAAAUGGGAUCUAUUUGACGGUACCGAAUGAGGAAGCCCCGGCUAACUACGUGCCAGCAGCCCCGGUC